rnacentral:tRNA from 1 species
CGUUCAGAAAGUGGAAUCGAACCUCUCCGCUUCUGAGCGGUUACAGGUUUGAAGCCUGCACCCUGGACCUCCGAAGUUCAUCUGGGC